AGAUUGAACGCUGGCGGCAGGCCUAACACAUGCAAGUCGAGCGGUAGAGAGGUGCUUGCACCUCUUGAGAGCGGCGGACGGGUGAGUAAUGCCUAGGAAUCUGCCUAGUGGUGGGGGAUAACGUUCGGAAACGGACGCUAAUACCGCAUUACGUCCUACGGGAGAAAGCGGGGGACCUUCGGGCCUCGCGCCAUUAGAUGAGCCUAGGUCGGAUUAGCUAGUUGGUGAGGUAAUGGCUCACCAAGGCGACGAUCCGUAACUGGUCUGAGAGGAUGAUCAGUCACACUGGAACUGAGACGCGGUCCAGACUCCUACGGGAGGCAGCAGUGGGGAAUAUUGGACAAUGGGACGAAAGCCUGAUCCAGCCAUGCCGCGUGUGUGAAGAAGGUCUUCGGAUUGUAAAGCAACUUUAAGUUAGGGAAGGUAAGGUUAGUAACUUAAGUACGUU
rnacentral:rRNA from 1 species